rnacentral:rRNA from 1 species
UACGAAGGGGGCUAGCGUUGUUCGGAAUCACUGGGCGUAAAGGGCGCGUAGGCGGCUUUAUAAGUCGGGGGUGAAAGCCUGUGGCUCAACCACAGAAUUGCCUUCGAUACUGUAGAGCUUGAGACCGGAAGAGGUAAGUGGAACUGCGAGUGUAGAGGUGAAAAUUCGUAGAUAUUCGCAAGAACACCAGUGGCGAAGGCGGCUUGACUGG